GAUCAACGUUGGCGGCGCGCCUAACACAUGCAAGUCGAACGAGAAAGUGGAGCAAUCCAUGAGUAAAGUGGCGUACGGGUGAGUAACACGUGGGUAAUCUACCUGUUGGUGGGGAAUACCCCUGGGAACGUAGGGAGUAAUACCGCAUAAGUCCGCAAGGAGAAAGUCGCAAGACGCCGACAGAGGAGCCCGCGGCCGAUUAGCUAGUUGGUGAGGUAAUGGCUCACCAAGGCUACGAUCGGUAGCCGGCCUGAGAGGGCACACGGCCACACUGGCACUGAAACACGGGCCAGACUCCUACGGGAGGCAGCAGUGGGGAAUCUUGCACAAUGGGGGAAACCCUGAUGCAGCGACGCCGCGUGAGCGAUGAAGCCCUUCGGGUGU
rnacentral:rRNA from 1 species